GACGGAGGGGGCUAGCGUUGUUCGGAAUUACUGGGCGUAAAGCGCGCGUAGGCGGCGCAUUAAGUCAGAGGUGAAAGCCCGGCUCAACCCCGGAAUUGCCUUUGAGACUGGUGUGCUUGAGUACGGAAGAGGUGAGUGGAAUUCCCAGUGUAGAGGUGAAAUUCGUAGAUAUUGGGAAGACACCAGUGGCGAAGGCGGCUCACUGGUCCGUAACUGACGCUGAGGUGCGAAGCGUGGGGAGCAAACGGAUAGAUACCCGGGUAGUCC
rnacentral:rRNA from 1 species